UACGGAGGGUGCGAGCGUUAAUCGGAAUUACUGGGCGUAAAGCGCAUGCAGGCGGUCUGUUAAGCAAGAUGUGAAAGCCCGGGGCUCAACCUCGGAACAGCAUUUUGAACUGGCAGACUAGAGUGUGGUAGAGGGAGGUAGAAUUUCCUGUGUAGCGGUGAAAUGCGUAGAUAUAGGAAGGAAUACCGAUGGCGAAGGCAGCCUCCUGGACAAAGACUGACGCUCAGAUGCGAAAGCGUGGGGAGCAAACAGG
rnacentral:rRNA from 1 species